UUGCUUUGGCAGCACAUAUACUAAAACUGGAACAAUACAGAGAAGAUUAGCUUGGCCCCUGCACAAGGAUGACAUGCAAAUUCGUGAAGCGUUCGGUAUUUUU